AAUCAGGUAGGACUACCCGCUGAACUUAAUCAUAUCAAUAAGCGGAGGAAAAGAAACUAACAAGGAUUCCCCUAGUAACUGCGAGUGAAGCGGGAAAAGCUCAA
rnacentral:rRNA from 1 species